GACGAACGCUGGCGGCGUGCUUAACACAUGCAAGUCGAACGGAAAGGCCCUGCUUUUGUGGGGUGCUCGAGUGGCGAACGGGUGAGUAACACGUGAGUAACCUGCCCUUGACUUUGGGAUAACUUCAGGAAACUGGGGCUAAUACCGGAUCGGAGCUCCUGCUGCAUGGUGGGGGUUGGAACGUUUCGGCGGUUGGGGAUGGACUCGCGGCUUAUCAGCUUGUUGGUGGGGUAGUGGCUUACCAAGGGUUUGACGGGUAGCCGGCCUGAGAGGGUGACCGGCCACAUUGGGACUGAGGUACGGACCAGACUCCUACGGGGGGCAGCAGUGGGGAAUAUUGCACAAUGGGCGGAAGCCUGAUGCAGCAACGCCGCGUGCGGGAUGACGGCCUUCGGGUUGUAAACCGCUUUCGCCUGUGACGAAGCGUGAGUGACGGUAAUGGGUAAAGAAGCACCGGCUAACUACGUG
rnacentral:rRNA from 1 species